rnacentral:tRNA from 1 species
GCCGGGGUGGCGGAACAGGCAGACGCAGGGGACUUAAAAUCCCCCGAUCGCAAGAUCGUACCGGUUCGAUUCCGGUCCUCGGCACCA